AUGAGUUUCAGAAAACAAGAGUUGUGAACAGAAACAUGACCUGUGGAACAAAAUUUUGUAUUCAUAAUGGCAAAAUGCACCUAUAAAUUAUAACAAAGUUAUUGCCAAAGUAUUCGUUCGAUAUUUGGGUGAACAUACAAUUUCAGUACUAUGGACACAUAUUAGAGCACAUUGAAAACAGAAGCGAAACAAAAUUGAGGCUUCCAUGGACUCUUUAUCAAGAGCUACACUACAGGACCUACUACACUGAUAAUAAAAAGGAAAAGAUACUUAAACCAUUGGAGCAUGGAAUUAGUGACAUGACUCCUCUUCCUCCUCGGAGCAAUAACAAUAUCUCCUAGAGCUAUAAGAGACAGCAUAGGAAUCUAUACCAUGGACGCUGCAACAACAAAAAAAUUAUAAGAAAUAAAUAACAGUCCAAGGAUUUACUGUCAUAAAUAAAGCAAAAAUAGGAUUGUGAAAUUUUCACAUGAAAUUAAGCAUAAGUAACAUUGGAGAAUUUUUGCAUUCACAACCCAGGUAAUUAGAGUUGUUAAAUGAUUUAUUUUGGUAACUGCUUCGAAGUCAAAUUCUCUGAAAAGAUUGGUGUUAGCACAUUCACCCUA
rnacentral:lncRNA from 1 species